CAUGGUGCAGCGGUUAGCAUUCAGGACUUUGAAUCCUGCGACGUGAGUUUAAAUCUCCUCUG
rnacentral:tRNA from 1 species